rnacentral:lncRNA from 1 species
AACACAACUCUAGACACAAAUCAAAAUAAUACAAGCUUUAUAUUACAAGACAGGGGCCUCGAGGGCUCGAAUACAGGCUCGAUACACAAGAGUCAGCGGAAGCAGCAAUAUCUGAGUACAGACAUAAGUAAAACAAGACUGCCCUAAGAAGGCUAGCACAAAAGCAACACGAUCAAAGAGGAAGGCUAGCACAAAAGCAACACGAUCAAAGAGGCAAGGCCUCCUGCCUGGGACCUCCUAACUACUCCUGGUCGUCGGUGAUCUUCAUGUAGUAGUAUCCGUCGACGGUGGCAUAUGGCUCCAAGGAUCCACCACCUGGUUGCGACAACCGGAAAGAAGAAAGAAGGGGGAAAAGGGGUAGCAAAGCAACCGUGAGUACUCAUCCAAAAUACUCGCAAGCAUCAGAUCUAUACUAAGUAUGCACUGGUAUCAAAUGGGAGGUUUGUAUCUGUGGACUGAACUGCAGAAUGCCAAAAUAGAGGGGGAAGGCCUAGCCUAUCGAAUACUAGCAUCUUCAAGCAGCUCCGAGCAUCUUGCAGCAUGUAGAAGAGUAAAGAAUAGCAGUUUAUAAUUAACAAGCAUGUUGUAACAUUAACGCCCAGAGAUCCUUGCUCGACUCCCUGCGAGAAAGCAAUCCCGGAGCCACAUAUCUUAAGUAUCCAUUUGUAGUUGUAUAAGAUCAGUAUAUAAGUCUGAACGUCCGUUACCGUGGGCAGGGCUAUUAGUAGAUAAACUUCCCUGCAGUGGUGCACCACGUUUUCCAACACGCUUGAUUACUCUGGCCGGACACACCUUUCUGGGGUCAAUGCCCGGCCUCGGAAGAUCAACACGUCACAGCCCUACCUAGGCUCAGCAGAGAGGUCCCCGCCGUCUACCUCCUAAGCACUCCGGGGUCUGGGCCCAUCGCCCGUUGCACUCCGGGUCAUUGCGAGCAGGGCAGACCAGGCUCCACCACUACAGGAUGGUGUCGGCCCAGUCGUGCCACACUGCUGAACUGGACGUCUGACAAAGCUUCGGCUGGUACCACGAUGUCGAGGCCCAUAACUAUUCUCACGUGGUGGUUGGUGCGUAAAGGCCAAAGGCCAACUCAGAACAAAUACCCAAACCAUAGUGUAUUAUUAGCUUGUGGAGACGAGCAGAGACUCACGAUCGAAAGUGACCCCGUUGCCCCGUCUCCUGGACUUACGACAAGGGCCUAGAAUGCCCGGUCGUGCCACGUAACCAUCUUGCGGGUGCUCUCCGGGCCCGCCCGACUUUCACCAAGGUCUCAAGUAAAGUCAAUUGUAACCGUGUGUCUAAACAUCAAGGGGAAAACCCGAGGAAUCACCCACUGAGGAUUCCACUCGAUGUAACCAUCAAGGAGAACGUAAGAGGGACCACCCUCGAGGUUCACACUUGAGGUGUUGAACGAUAGAGCCGCAUCGGGAAUGGUGAAAGAGGAAAUCACCCUCAAUGACCAUGACCGAAUAGCUACACUAUAGAAUUAUCAUCAGGAGUGCGUUAUGAGGGAUCACCCUCAGCACUCAAUAGUAACUCUGAAGAGUCGAGCAACUAAAGGGGCAUGAUGUGAUGUGAGGUGUCGGGCUCUGGUCAUCGAUCGCGUUGAUCGAGUCAUCAAAGAUGAAGCAGGGGCUACUAGGACAAGUGGGAGUCACUGAUGGAUCACUAACCAACCUAUACUAAACAAUUUAGGAUAAGCAGGUAAGGUACAACAAUAGGUACAAAAGCAGGUUAUGCAUCAGAAUAGGAGCAAUCAAUAACAGUAGCAAAGUCUAAUGCAAGCAUGAGAGUAUAGAAUGGGCGANNNNNNNNNNNNNNNNNNNNNNNNNNNNNNNNNNNNNNNNNNNNNNNNNNNNNNNNNNNNNNNNNNNNNNNNNNNNNNNNNNNNNNNNNNNNNNNNNNNNNNNNNNNNNNNNNNNNNNNNNNNNNNNNNNNNNNNNNNNNNNNNNNNNNNNNNNNNNNNNNNNNNNNNNNNNNNNNNNNNNNNNNNNNNNNNNNNNNNNNNNNNNNNNNNNNNNNNNNNNNNNNNNNNNNNNNNNNNNNNNNNNNNNNNNNNNNNNNNNNNNNNNNNNNNNNNNNNNNNNNNNNNNNNNNNNNNNNNNNNNNNNNCGUCGUCGAUGUAGUCGAUCAUAGGGGCAUCAGCAGCGGUCUCGGGAUCUACCGGAGAGAAGAGGGGGGAAGAAACCGUAAAUGCACGCAAACAUAUGCAUAACAAGACAAGAAGCAGGGCUAGAAGUGUUCUAACGCAGCGCUAGGCGAUACUGGCGAAGGGGGAAACAUCCGGGAAAGUUUUCCCGGUCCGGUAGGUUUGUCAGACAGAUGAACCGGAGGACAAAGUUUGCAGGUUCGUUAUGCUAGGGACGUGUGGCAGACGAACGGACCGCGUGUCCGGAUUCGUCUCGAAAUUCUGAGCAACUUGCAUGUAGAAAACUUUUUCAUCCGAGCUAUGGUUUAUUUUAUAUUAAUUUUUAAAUUUUAUUUCAUUUUUAGGAAUAACAGAAUUAAUUUAAUUAGGAAAACUAAUUAUGACGUCAGCGUGAUGUCAACAGUCAAUCGCCUGUUGACUGGGUCAACAGACGUGUGGUUCUCAUUUGUCAUUGACACAUUGCCCUAACUAACAGAUUAGUUAGUUUAAUUAGAUAUUUAGGUUAAUUAAGUUUAAUUAGUUUAAUUAGGCACGAUUAAUUAAGUUGAUUAAUUAGUAAAUUAAUUUAAUUACUAAAUUUUUUAUCUUUUUUUUAAAUGUUCACGGGGCUGGGCCCCCCUAUCAUUGGCCCAGGGGGCCUUAGCGGGUGCGUGGGCAGACGGGUGUGGGCGCUGGGCGCCGGGUUAACGGGCGGAGCUCGGUUGGGCACCCGAGCGGGCGCUAUGACCAGCGAGCAAAGGGGGGAGGCGCGCGACGCGACGCCGGCGGUCGCGGCCGCGGCCGGAGCAGGGCGGCGCAGCGAGGGAGCGACGUGCGUGGGUGUGGGCCGGUGGCCGAAGGGGGCAGAGGGGCACCGGGGAGGCGCGGCCCCGGACGUAGGCGAGGGCAGGUGGUGCGGCGACGACCGGAGCAGGGAGCUGUGGGGAAAAGUCGCGACGAAGGGGGAAGAGGAGGCCGAGUGCCUCACCGUGGGGCUGUAGGGAAACGACAGCAGGGGUUGAGGAGGAGGACAGGGACGGCGGCGGUGCAGCUCCAGCGAUGUCCAGGCAGCGGCGAUGAUCGACGUGGCGACGUGGCUCCGACGACGGAGAGGCACGAGGAGGUCCGGCGACGAGGUGGUCGGCAGCGACGAGGUAGGGACAAGCGACGUCGGUUGCUGUGGCGACGGUGAUGGCGAACGACGUCGAGCGACGGGGGUACCAGCUGCCAUCGGGGCAGAGGCGAGGGCCGUCGCGGCGAUGUCGGGGAGGUGGGGUCAGGGGCGAUGUGGAUCGCCUGGAUCCAGCAGAGAGAGGGGGAGGAGUGGAGGAAGGCGAGGCGUCCGGCGAGGGGGGAGUUCUUUGGGCGGCGGGCGGCGUUCGAUGGGGCCGGGGCAACUGCCCCGAUCCAGAUCCGAUCGGGGGGAGAGGGGGAAGAGUGAGGGAAACGUGGGGGAGUGGGGUUGGUCGCUAGGGUUCCUGGGAAGUGGGGGUAGGUGUAGUGGGGGUGGCUGGGCCGGUUCGGUUGGGCCGGACCUUGUUGGCUAAAGGGGCCAAGUGGCCCAAUAGGUUUAGGUCUUCCCCUACGUUUUCUUCUCUGACUCUUUUAUUUCUACUUUGAUUUGCAAAUUGUUAGACCACCCAUUCACAUUUGUAAAAUAUGAGACUUGGCUCAUUAAAUUACAUGCAAAACUUAGCACUAUCAGAAAAAGGUUUGGUGGCAAGAUGAUUUCAUUUGUAUUUGUAUUAAUUGUAAAUGGGAUAAAUAUUGCUAUUUUGGCACUAUUUUAUUCACAAAAGAGCAUUAAAAUACUUUUCAAAAAUGUUAGGUAACCACCAUAAUUGGUUAUGGAAUAUUUUCCACACUUUGAACAUUUUAUUUUGUGUGUUUAAGAAUUUUGAAUUUUGGUCUUUAAUUUGAAUUGAAUUUGAAUUAUGAUUUGAUCAAGCGAGGAUUAGCAACAGUAAUGUGAUGACAUGGCAUCAUUAACAGGGAUUACUGUAGCUUGAUUAUCCGGGCGUCACAAUUCUCCUCCACUACAAGAAAUUUCGUCCCGAGAUUUAAGGGGGUGGAGUAAGGGGGAAAGACUUGGGAAGGAUGGAGCUCAAUCCCAAGAUAGGUACCUGGGGGCUAUCUCAGUGAAUGUGGCAUAGAGGCAUCUCUCGACUUGAAAUUCAAGAAAGUCAUCAAGAGCAAGAAGGUACCAUAAUAAGUUUCAAGCGGAUAGACAAUCGUUCGAUGUCUGAAACAGAGGGUGAAAGGCGUUCAGAUAAUGGGAAAGUAUUGCAUCUGAUACUAGAAUAGAUCACUAGGAAGAUGGCUCGUGAUUUACAUACGAAGCCAAGUGCGAGGAAUAACUUAGAAAAUUGGGAUGCAUAGAAGAGUCAGGUUCCGAUCCUAUGGAACUGUGGGUUAUGGGCCCACCAGGUGGGUUAAAAGCAGGAAGGGUGCUAACAUUUGCAUGUUCAUGAUAGCAAGGCAGGUCAGAGGAUAGCUUGUCAGUUAUGUUGGCAACAAAGUUGGUACCAAGGGCGAGGGACGAAGAGAACCAUUUCCCUACUCGUUAAGAUGAGGCGGACCAAUAGGUAAUGUUCUCGUCCAUCGGUGGCUACCGGAAUGUCAUCAACAAUAGUAAUAAGGUCUUACAGACAAAGCUUGUACACCGAGGUGUUUACAUAAGCAGGAAAUUAUCACUGCUCAGAUAAGAUAUGUUACAAGGAAGAUUAAACAAAACAAUGGAAAGGAAAGCGUAGACUCGAAUCAGUUCUCUGUAUUCUCAAGUGUCUAGCAACUCCGAACCUGUGGAAAAUUUGAAUCAGCAAGAAAUAAUAGUUGAUGAAGAACUCAUAAGAAGUUAUGUAGUUCCAAGACAUUCUCGAGAUAACAGAGUGUAAUACUCGAAGGUAGAACAUGAUAGAGGUUGGACAGGUGAAAAGAUCUGAAGUGGACAAGUACUUCAACUUGUGUGAGAAAUGGGAUCAAAGAAGAACUAUAUGGUCGGAACCACGGUUGCAAAGGACCAAAUAUAGAUACAAGAUGAACUUAUCACAAGGGGGUUAUCAUUAUAACAAGAAGCUUCCAUGAUAAGUUCCACAUCGGGUCCAUGGGCAUGAACACAAAGGUUCAAGGUCGACUCCCACUUCUUUAAUGCACAACUUUCCAUUCACUUCUCGCUUUCGAAGAAGUUGUAGCAUUGACAUUUACCUGACGAAAAGCCAGUAGAGUAUAACCCGCAUAACUUUCGUGUCCACAAGGAUUUAGGGAAUACAUAGAUUCAAACCACUGGGCAUCUUAGGAACAUAUACCAAAAACUUCACGAUUAAAUAACUCAAUCCCGAGAGUAGAGCAUGGUUGAGGAAGCAGAAGAUACAAUUUACCAAAGGCAUUAUGUAUCCGAGGAAAAGCUCACAAGGUUACUGUAUAUGAAGGACGUUGUUGGAUAGAACCCCACAAAGGAUCUAGUGGUUCACAAGGGAUCUGAUGUGAGCAUCAAUACUCAACCAGAAGUAGAAAGAAUGCAAGGAUAUCAGAUUAUAGAAGCAACUGACUAGUUCGGAGUUCAAUGCAAAGGAAUUACGAUUUCCAAAAUCAAGGGGUCAGAAGCAAACGCUCUGACCAAGGAUGGUUAAGUUGAAUAGACUUAGGGCACAAUCGAUGGCAAUCUGAUUGGCCGAGAACUAGCUCAUGUUUGGGAAGGCGGAAAGAUAAUCUAUAAGGAUCAACUGAUGAUUGCGACACAGACAUAUCAAAUCGAAAGACUCAAGAUGAUAAUGAUAAAGGACGUCAAUGGAUACUGCUAGGCAUAUGGAAUUAACCAGAGUGUAGGCAAGUAAGACUUUUUAGAGCAAUAGGCGAUAAAGGUCAUCGAAAGCUCGGAUUGUAUUAAAAAGUAUCUUAUGAAGCAUAAGAAUAACUGGGGAUGAAUGGAUACUCGAUAAAAGCGAGUAAUUAUCUGUAGGGGUAUUCAUGCAGCAAGGACCGCAGGGCAGUAAGCAUAAAGGACCCUCAGAAUACCGAAGAGUAUUUCAAGACAUCUUGUAAUAACAAGAGCAACUGGGGAUGAAGGUAUGAACGACAAUGUAGGUAGUUAUGCAUAAGGAUUUAUCGGUGUUAGGGAUUGCAAUGACGAAGGGCACAAGGGUCUCGAGAAAACUUCGGAGAGUAUCUUCAGAAACUUCUAGUGCACCAAGCAUUCAUCUGGAGUGGGGGGCUCUCCAGGAGAAAGUAUUUACGAGAUCCUAAAGUUAGAGUUAAUAUCAUUUAACCCGAAUAGAAGAGAGAUCAGAGUCCUAGAGUAAAGGUCGAGGAGUAAAAGAUCCUAAUACCACCCAAUGGCGACGUGGGCCCAUAAGCCACACAUCCAUUUUAGUAAAACGGAUUUUCAAAGACUAGACUCAACUUCGACCAAGGAGUUGGAAAGCGGGAUCCAAAAGGCAGUCGACUCUGAUACCAACUUGUGACGCCCUCGAUUCAAUUGUACACUAAUCAUACACACAAAUGUGUAUGAUCAAGAUCAGGGACUCACGGGAAGAUAUCACAACACAACUCUAGACACAAAUCAAAAUAAUAUAAGCUUUAUAUUACAAGCCAGGGGCCUCGAGGGCUCGAAUACAAGCUCGAUACUAAGAGUCAGCGGAAGCAGCAAUAUCUAAGUACAGACAUAAGUUAAACAAGACUGCCUUAAGAAGGCUAGCACAAAAGCAACACGGUCGAAGAGGUAAGGCCUCCUGCCUGGGACCUCCUAACUACUCCUGGUCGUCG